rnacentral:rRNA from 1 species
AACAGGAUUAGAUACCCUGGUAGUCCACGCCGUAAACGAUGUCGACUUGGAGGUUGUGCCCUUGAGGCGUGGCUUCCGGAGCUAACGCGUUAAGUCGACCGCCUGGGGAGUACGGCCGCAAGGUUAAAACUCAAAUGAAUUGACGGGGGCCCGCACAAGCGGUGGAGCAUGUGGUUUAAUUCGAUGCAACGCGAAGAACCUUACCUGGUCUUGACAUCCACAGAACUUUCCAGAGAUGGAUUGGUGCCUUCGGGAACUGUGAGACAGGUGCUGCAUGGCUGUCGUCAGCUCGUGUUGUGAAAUGUUGGGUUAAGUCCCGCAACGAGCGCAACCCUUAUCUUUUGUUGCCAGCGGUCCGGCCGGGAACUCAAAGGAGACUGCCAGUGAUAAACUGGAGGAAGGUGGGGAUGACGUCAAGUCAUCAUGGCCCUUACGACCAGGGCUACACACGUGCUACAAUGGCGCAUACAAAGAGAAGCGACCUCGCGAGAGCAAGCGGACCUCAUAAAGUGCGUCGUAGUCCGGAUUGGAGUCUGCAACUCGACUCCAUGAAGUCGGAAUCGCUAGUAAUCGUGGAUCAGAAUGCCACGGUGAAUACGUUCCCGGGCCUUGUACACACCGCCCGUCACACCAUGGGAGUGGGUUGCAAAAGAAGUAGGUAGCUUAACCUUCGGGAGGGCGCUUACCACUUUGUGAUUCAUGACUGGGGUGAAGUCGUAACAAGGUAACC